UACAGAGGUCCCAAGCGUUGUUCGGAUUCACUGGGCGUAAAGGGUGCGUAGGUGGUUGGGUAAGUUUGAUGUGAAAGCUCUGGGCUCAACCCAGAAAUGGCAUUGAAUACUAUCCAACUAGAGGAGUGGAGGGGGGACUGGAAUACUUGGUGUAGCAGUGAAAUGCGUAGAUAUCAAGUGGAACACCAGUGGCGAAGGCGAGUCCCUGGACACUUCCUGACACUGAGGCACGAAAGCUAGGGGAGCAAACAGG
rnacentral:rRNA from 1 species